rnacentral:lncRNA from 1 species
UAUCAAUGAUGAACAAAGAAAGGCUUGUUUCUCAUGAACAUUCGCAGUGGCCGCCUGAUUGAACUUUCGCCUUCGCCAGGCUUGAGAGUUCAUGUUGUUUCAUCCUUCCUUGGAUGUCUGAGAUCUUCUCAGAAACAUUCGCAGUGGCCGACCAAGAGCUUUCGCCUUCCCCAGGCUUGAGAGCUUGUGCUGUUUUGCUCCUUCCUUGGAUGUCUGAAGUUUUAUUUCAUUUAUUUAUUUAUAGAGAAUUAGGGUGGGUUUCUCAGUGAUGAUUUCAAUAGAUGACGAGUCUGAUACAUUAUCCAUUCCAUUCAGUAUGAAGACCAAUCGAGGCAUUUGUCUGAGAGAUAACCCUUUACCUCAUAUUUACUACAGUAUUUUUCGAUUUUUUAAAUUUCUAUUUUAAUCAUGCCGAAAAGACUGAAAUACCUUUUCAAUUUUGUUCAAUGUUUUCUAUAUUUCUCCAAUUUAUGUUUUGAUUCUUUAGAAAAGGGCUAUGAUGAUCCCAUGUGAUAAGGUCUCGUUCGUCGUAACGGUGAUUAACAAUCACCUUGCCGACCAUACUGUUAUAUCACCACCCAUAAACUGAGUCC